ACCCGCGACAAGCGGUGGAACAUGUGGUUUAAUUCGAAGCAACGCGAAGAACCUUACCAGGUCUUGACAUCCCGAUGCUAUUCUAGAGAUGAAAGUUACUUCGGUACAUCGGUGACAGGUGGUGCAUGGUUGUCGUCAGCUCGUGUCGUGAGAUGUUGGGUUAAGUCCCGCAACGAGCGCAACCCCUAUUGUUAGUUGCCAUCAUUCAGUUGGGCACUCUAGCGAGACUGCCGGUAAUAAACCGGAGGAAGGUGGGAUGACGUCAAAUCAUCAUGCCCCUUAUGACCUGGGCUACACACGUGCUACAAUGGUUGGUACAACGAGUUGCGAGUCGGUGACGGCGAGCUAAUCUCUUAAAGCCAAUCUCAGUUCGGAUUGUAGGCUGCAACUCGCCUACAUGAAGUCGGAAUCGCUGGUAAUCGCGGAUCAGCUACGCCGCGGUGAAUACGUUCUCGGGCCUU
rnacentral:rRNA from 1 species